rnacentral:rRNA from 1 species
GAUGAACGCUGGCGGCGUGCCUAAUACAUGCAAGUCGAGCGAACGGACGAGAAGCUUGCUUCUCUGAUGUUAGCGGCGGACGGGUGAGUAACACGUGGAUAACCUACCUAUAAGACUGGGAUAACUUCGGGAAACCGGAGCUAAUACCGGAUAAUAUUUUGAACCGCAUGGUUCAAAAGUGAAAGACGGUCUUGCUGUCACUUAUAGAUGGAUCCGCGCUGCAUUAGCUAGUUGGUAAGGUAACGGCUUACCAAGGCAACGAUGCAUAGCCGACCUGAGAGGGUGAUCGGCCACACUGGAACUGAGACGCGGUCCAGACUCCUACGGGAGGUAGCAGUAGGGAAUCUUCCGCAAUGGGCGAAAGCCUGACAGAGCAACGCCGCGUGAGUGAUGAAGGUCUUCGGAUCGUAAAACUCUGUUAUUAGGGAAGAACAUAUGUGUAAGUAACUGUGCACAUCUUGACGGCACCUAAUCAGAAAGCCACGGCUAACUACGUG